UAGGGAAUCUUCGGCAAUGGACGAAAGUCUGACCGAGCAACGCCGCGUGAGUGAAGAAGGUUUUCGGAUCGUAAAACUCUGUUGUUAGAGAAGAACAAGGACGUUAGUAACUGAACGUCCCCUGACGGUAUCUAACCAGAAAGCCACGGCUAACUACGUGCCAGCAGCCGCGGUAAUACGUAGGUGGCAAGCGUUGUCCGGAUUUAUUGGGCGUAAAGCGAGCGCAGGCGGUUUCUUAAGUCUGAUGUGAAAGCCCCCGGCUCAACCGGGGAGGGUCAUUGGAAACUGGGAGACUUGAGUGCAGAAGAGGAGAGUGGAAUUCCAUGUGUAGCGGUGAAAUGCGUAGAUAUAUGGGGGAACACCAGUGGCGAAGGCGGCUCUCUAGUCUGUAACUGACGCUGAGGCUCGAAAGCGUGGGGAGCAAACAGG
rnacentral:rRNA from 1 species